CACACAUACCGCAUUGGAUCUUGAACCCAGGGCCUUGCACUGAGCCUAAGCCCUUUUCAUUUUUUUAGAUAAAGUCUUGCUAAAUCACUAUGUUGCCCAGGCUAGGCUCAUUUGUGAGCCUAGAGUUCUGGGGUUACAGGCAUGUACCACCACACCUGGCUAAUAAUUAUCAUUUUGAUAGGCCAGAAUAAUUUGAAGAGAUUUGAUAAUUCCUUUUCCCAUGGUGACUCAUUAAAUAUAUUUGUCAAACUCAAUAUAAUACUCCCUAUUGACUGAAUGAAAGUUGGCUUAGAACGAGUAACAGAAUAAGCAGUCCUUUGCAAGUGGAAAGGAAAAACUUUGUUCUUCUGGUUGUGUCUGUACCUCAAAUAUGCCAAAGACCUCUUUGAAAUGUUCAGGUCAGAUGGUUGGGGAGGAGGGCAGAGGAGAGAAGAGGUGUUGUUCUUGUUUUAAAGGUGAUUUCCAAAUGCCAGAAAAAGAUAAACCAGAGCCUUCUGCACUCAUCACCACCAGCAUACGAGAUGGGCAUGGUUUUUAAGCUUAUAGCAUUUCUGCCAGAGAGACAUCGCCAUCAGCAAAAAAUGAUUGCAUCUUACCAUAGUGCAAGGCAGAAAUGUAUGCUAAGAGAAAGCCAGAGGCUGGAGGCUUGCGAAGGUCACAUAGAGAGUGGAUUCAUGGAAAUCAGCACUAAGUCAGAGACAGCCCACUUAUGUUCCGAAGUCUCAUUUUAUUUCAAUCCUCCUUUCCCCCAUUCAGGAACUGUUCGACUGGUGACGGCUGGUCCGUCACAGGUGGCACCCGAACAGGGACCUGAAUACGAGGGAUACCAGAGUGAAGGACGCCGCAGGAAUACGAGGGCGCUCGGGAAGGACAGCUGUGGAGAUGCUUGA
rnacentral:lncRNA from 1 species